AGGGUGUAAACGCUGCAGACUUGGUGUUGGAAGUCCUUUGGGGGCAUUCAGUGCCGGAGAGAAGUUGUUAAGUCUGCUACUUGGGAGUACGUCCGCAAGGAUGAAACUUAAAGGAAUUGGCGGGGGGAGCACCGCAACGGGAGGAGCGUGCGGUUUAAUUGGAUUCAACACCAUAAAACUCACCAGGGAAGGCUGUUACAUGAAAGCCGAGAUGAAGACUCUGCUAGAUUUUCAGAGAGGUGGUGCAUGGCGUCAGUGACU
rnacentral:rRNA from 1 species